CCUACGGGAGGCAGCAGUGAGGAAUAUUGGUCAAUGGACGAGAGUCUGACCCAGCCAAGUAGCGUGAAGGAUGACUGUCCUAUGGUUUGUAAACUUCUUUUUUAUGGAAGUAAAAUGUUCCGCGUCUGUAUGUUUGUGUGUACCCUAUGCAUACGCAUCGACUAACUCCGUGCCAUCAGCCGCGAUCAUACGGAGGAUGCGAGCGUUGUCCGGAUUUCUUGGGUUUAAAGGGAGCGUAGGUGGAUUGGUAAGUGAGUUGUGAAAGAUCGCGGCUCAACCGGUAAACUGCAGUUGAAACUGGCAGUCUUGAGUGCAGGAGAGGCGUGCGGAAUUCGUGGUGUAGCGGUGAAAUGCAUAGAUAUCAGGAAGAACUCCGAUUGCGAAGGCAGUUCACUGGACUGCAACUGACACUGAGGCACGAAAGCGUGGGUAGCAAACAGGAUUAGAUACCCGAGUAGUC
rnacentral:rRNA from 1 species